UACAGAGACUGCAAGCGUUACUCGGAUUCACUGGGCGUAAAGGGAGCGCAGGUGGGCAGGUGUGUCGGGUGUGAAAUCCUGGGGCUUAACUCCAGAAUGGCGCUCGAAACUAUCUGUCUAGAGGAUUGGAGAGGCGGGUGGAAUUCCAGGUGUAGCGGUGAAAUGCGUAGAUAUCUGGAGGAACACCAACGGCGAAGGCAGCCCGCUGGACAAAUCCUGACGCUCAGGCUCGAAAGCGUGGGGAGCAAAAGGG
rnacentral:rRNA from 1 species